ACCCACCCGGUGUUUAUCACCGGGUGUAGGUAAACUUCCACCUUGAAUAAUUCCCAGCGAAAUCCCCAAAAAUCCCAUCUCUCACCCUCACGUCCUCAAAUCGGCAUCAUCUCAGGCGCUCACUUGCACAGUAAUUGGUGUUCUUGUGUCGCCUUUUGCGAUAUCUGUAACCCAUUCACGUAUGAAUUUAUCAGGUUCUCUAAAAUCCCCAAUUCGUAAUACUUCUAUAUUUGUACCCAUUUCUCGAAUUUUUGGUGUCAAAUAUGACGUAUUGUAUAGAAUUUGUGGGCUGUGAGGAUAAUUCAAUAUUACUGUUGUUGGACUAAAAUCCAAUGGUGUAUUGAUGUUUUGUCAAAACAUUGGCAGACCUAAUAAAUUUGUGUUAUUAUCUGACUUUAUUUUCCUAGAGGUCUUUUAUAUAAUCCUUUUUCUAGUUUUUGUAUUUAGUAUUUGAGGAAAUUUCUACUACAUAGCCGGCGGUUUCAGUGGGGUUCAACCAAUGCGAGGGUUGAUAAGGCCCAAUUGGUACGGUACACAAACAUGCAUCAAAUGUUUGACUCUUUUCACUGGAGUUUGGGGCUAAGUUCACUUGCAGCAAACUCCAAAGGUUAUUCAGUUGUUGAAUGAUGAGGGAACCACCAACCACUUGAUUUGUCCAACUUUGAACUCUUGAAGACGCCUCACCACAUUUCAUGCUUGACGUAAUCAAGAGUAGCAUUCGCCAAUCCAAGAUUUGUACUUGUUUGGGAUCCAAAGUUACAUAUGUUUGGAACUACAUAGAAUGAUUCGAUAUGUUAUGGUAUUUGAGUAUCAUUGAUUGUAUAUGAAACUGACAUUUGAUUGGUUGAUGAAGUGUAAAUUUGCAGAUGUGGUUUUAUUUA